rnacentral:lncRNA from 1 species
UAUCCAAAUUCAAAAUACAUAUUUUUAUAUAUAAUUUGAUGUUAUAUCUGUAUUUUUAUUUUAAAUGUUUAGAUUUAAUGUAAUAUAUUUUGAAACAUGAUAAAGAGAAAUUAUUAUUUAGAGUUCAAAUUUCGAAUUUGAUUUCGGAUUUCGAAUUUUUGAUCGAAUUUAGAUUUGGAUGUGGAUUUUAAAAUUUAUUGAGUUCGAAUUUGUGUUCAGAUUUUGGAUGCUAUUCGAUUCGAUUCAGACUUUGGAAAAUCCG